rnacentral:rRNA from 1 species
UACGUAGGGUGCGAGCGUUGUCCGGAAUUAUUGGGCGUAAAGAGCUCGUAGGCGGUUUGUCGCGUCGGCCGUGAAAACUUGGGGCUUAACCCCAAGCCUGCGGUCGAUACGGGCAGACUUGAGUUCGGCAGGGGAGACUGGAAUUCCUGGUGUAGCGGUGAAAUGCGUAGAUAUCAGGAGGAACACCGGUGGCGAAGGCGGCAUUCUGACGUCGAUAACUGACAGCUGAGGCGACGAAAGCCAGGAGGCAAACGGG